CAGCCGCCGCGGUAAUACCGGUGGCUCGAGUGGUGGCCGCUAUUAUUGGGUCUAAAGGGUCCGUAGCCGGCUUGAUAAGUUACCUGGGAAAUCCGGUGGCCUAACCAUCGGGCGGCCGGGUAAUACUAUCGAGCUUGGGACUAGGAGAGACCAGAGGUACUCAUGAGGUAGGGGUGAAAUCCUGUAAUCUUAUGAGGACCACCAGUGGCGAAGGCGUCUGGUUAGAAUAGGUCCGACGGUGAGGGACGAAGGCUGGGGGCGCAAACCGGAUUAGAUACCCGGGUAGUCCCAGCAGUAAACGAUGCCAGCUAUGUGUUGCUGAAACCAUGGGUUCCAGCAGUGCCGAAGGGAAGCCGUGAAGCUGGCCACCUGGGAAGUACGGUCGCAAGGCUGAAACUUAAAGGAAUUGGGG
rnacentral:rRNA from 1 species